rnacentral:tRNA from 1 species
GCCUGAGUGGCUCAGUAGGUUGAGUGUCUGACUUCGGCUCAGGUCAUGAUCUCACUCACAGUCUGUGAGUUUGAGCCCCUCAUCGGGCU